AGUGAACGCUGGCGGUAGGCCUAACACAUGCAAGUCGAACGGCAGCACAGUAAGAGCUUGCUCUUACGGGUGGCGAGUGGCGGACGGGUGAGGAAUACAUCGGAAUCUACUUUUUCGUGGGGGAUAACGUAGGGAAACUUACGCUAAUACCGCAUACGACCUACGGGUGAAAGCAGGGGAUCUUCGGACCUUGCGCGAUUGAAUGAGCCGAUGUCGGAUUAGCUAGUUGGCGGGGUAAAGGCCCACCAAGGCGACGAUCCGUAGCUGGUCUGAGAGGAUGAUCAGCCACAUUGGAACUGAGACACGGUCCAGACUCCUACGGGAGGCAGCAGUGGGGAAUAUUGGACAAUGGGCGCAAGCCUGAUCCAGCCAUACUGCGUGGGUGAAGAAGGCCUUCGGGUUGUAAAGCCCUUUUGUUGGGAAAGAAAAGCAGCAGGUUAAUACCCCGCUGUUCUGACGGUACCCAAAGAAUAAGCACCGGCUAACUUCGUG
rnacentral:rRNA from 1 species